rnacentral:rRNA from 1 species
ACACGACUACAUUAGAUACCCGUGUAGUCCUAGCCGUAAACGAUACUCGCUAGGUGUCGGCCACGGUGCGACUGUUGUCGGUGCCGUAGGGAAGCCGUGAAGCGAGCCACCUGGGAAGUACGGCCGCAAGGCUGAAACUUAAAGGAAUUGGCGGGGGAGCACAACAACGGGUGGAGCUUGCGGUUUAAUUGGAUUCAACGCCGGAAAUCUUACCGGGACCGACAGCAACAUGAAGGCCAGGCUGAAGACUUUGCCGGAUUAGCUG